rnacentral:rRNA from 1 species
AGUUAUGGUAAAACUCGUCUUGGGCCACUGAAGCUAAGCAAGACUGGGCCUGGUUAGUAUUUGGAUGGGAGACCGCUGGGAAUACCAGGUGCCACGGUCG